CAGCCGCCGCGGGAAUACGUAGGUGGCAAGCGUUGUCCGGAAUUAUCGGGCGUAAAGGGCUCGCAGGCGGUUUCUUAAGUCUGAUGUGAAAGCCCCCGGCUCAACCGGGGAGGGUCAUUGGAAACUGGGAAACUUGAGUGCAGAAGAGGAGAGUGGAAUUCCACGUGUAGCGGUGAAAUGCGUAGAGAUGUGGAGGAACACCAGUGGCGAAGGCGACUCUCUGGUCUGUAACUGACGCUGAGGAGCGAAAGCGUGGGGAGCGAACAGGAUUAGAUACCCCAGUAGUCCCUGUCUCUUAUAU
rnacentral:rRNA from 1 species